AUUAUACUGAGAGAGAGAAAUGUUUGCUGUUGGAAAUAAUUGGAAAGUAAGUACGAAAUUGUCUAACUUAUAGAACAAAUUUCUAAUUGUAUUUUUGUUUUCAGAUACAUGCAUAUUAUAAUUGAAAACAAAUCAUGUACCAAUGCUAUGUCCAACAAACCAAGCAAUGAAACCUUGGAAAAAAUAGCAUUGAAUUUCCCAGAACUCCCAAGCAGCUGAACACUGCAUAUAUAAACUUAAAAAGGGUCACUCACCAAAAAGUAGCAGAGGAAAAUAUUCAAAAAUAUAAUGAGCAGAAGGUUUUGGACCAGUUGAAGAGAGACCAAACUGCGGACAAAAAAGACAUACUUGCAACAGGUGGUGGCACAUUUAGGCCUCGUCUCACAUAUGUAGGGGCACAAAUGUUGAGUUUGAUUGGCAAUCAAAUCCAACCUUUACCCAACAGUUGUGACAGUGCAUCUGGUUUCUUCACAUCUGGUGAGUCCUUAUUUUAUUAAUUUAUUUAAAUAAAGGUAACUAAUUUUAAAUUUAUUUAUAUAUACAGUAUGUCCCUGUAAGUUGUAUCCAUAUGGAAAACUUUUUUAUUAUUAAUUUUACGAAAAAAAGU